CCUACGGGAGGCAGCAGUGAGGGAUCUUGGUCAAUGGGGGAAACCCUGAACCAGCAACGCCGCGUGAGGGAAGACGGUUUUCGGAUUGUAAACCUCUGUCAUAUGUGAGGAAAAUGACGGUAGCAGAGGAGGAAGCUCCGGCUAACUACGUGCCAGCAGCCGCGGUCAUACGUAGGGAGCAAGCGUUGUCCGGAUUGACUGGGUGUAAAGGGUGGGUAGGCGGGCCUGCAAGUCAGAAGUGAAAUCCAUGGGCUUAACCCGUGCACUGUUUUUGAAACUGUAGGGCUUGAGUGAAGUAGAGGCAAGCGGAAUUCCCGGUGUAGCGGUGAAAUGCGUAGAGAUCGGGAGGAACACCAGUGGCGAAGGCGGGCUGCUGGGCUUUAACUGACGCUGAGGCACGAAAGCGUGGGUAGCAAACAGGAUUAGAUACCCCUGUAGUC
rnacentral:rRNA from 1 species